GCAUGGCAAGCAGAUCGAUGCGGCAAGCAGGGGCAACGGAAGUCAUGUCUGGAUACGUAUCGGACGUGUAUCAUCGGUGUAUCACGUAUCGGUGGAUACGGGAUACGUGCUUCUAUGAAGCCUGAUUUAAAAGCCUGCUGAUUUCGGCUACAUGUGAGAAAUAAGCCGGGAAAAGAGAAGCCAACAGUGCGCUCUUCCCUUCCCUUCCCGGCCGCCGCCGCCCGCGCGCCUUGGGCCGCCGUAUCGUUUGCCCUGGGCGGUCCUGCGACGAGCGAGCGCGUAACGUCUUCUUUCUUUUCCCCUCCCCCUUUUCCCUCGGGUUGUCGUCUCGACGACUCGCACCGUACACCAGCCUCGGAGCAACCAUGGCCUCGGUCCCGCUGACGGUGGCGGAGACGGAGUCUACUCCCCUCAUCGGAGUCGUGACCGAGACGGAGACGGAGACUGCAUGCUCCCCUCAUCCGAGUCGUGCCAGCGCAGGAUGCCAAGGCCCCCCGCGCCGCCGCGUCCGUGAAGAUCAGGCGCCGCCUCUCCCCGACGCGGAGAGAGGACUUGGAACGCCUUCUUCGAGUUGCCCCCCCAGCCAAGCAGUCCUUGUUCUCGCGCCUCGCGCGGCUGUGGCGCCAGGCCUUCGGCCGGUUCGAUCCCCGCUCCAUCCCCUUCGAUCAGCCGCUGACUGGGGAACAGAUGGAUAUGCUUGAACGUCAUCAUCAGCCGGGCCACUUCGAUCGAUUAGCUUUGGAUCGCGAGCUUACCAUGGAUUGCCUGCACUACUACAACAAAAAGAAUCCGGGCAAUGAAUAUGAGCCUGCUCCAGGUAAGGUGUACCGGCACUCCUAUUAUCACAAUGGCGUUUGCUGGUCUCAUGGGAACUUCGUGGCUCGUAAGAAGCGCACUGGUUGGUUGUCAUGUCAUUCCUUCCUGCCGCAAGGACUCUCUUUUUCUUUGAGCUUGCUGGUACAAAAGAUUUCAAUGGCAUCGUCACGUGCUCCCGCUUAGAUGAACCAGUUACUGAAUCUCACAGUGUCUUGGGUUUCCGUCUUGGGUUCUCUACUCGUCGUAGUGGCAAAUUCGAUUCCUUUUGCAAGACGUGCUCCGGGCGCUUUGAUGUUCCACAUCCAGCAUGUGAACAUCAGCAUGUGGAGAAAGUCUGUGGAAUGUGUUAUCUUCGCUCCGAUGUGCUGCAUCCGCGCCCUGGAGAAUUCGCGUUUGGCUAUCACAGUCCUUACCGCCCCUACCCUACUAAGCACUGAUUAUGUCAUCGAUCACUGUGGAUGUGAAAACUGACUUCGUAACUUAACGUUGUGAUUGCUUUCCAAGUUGCUAUGUCACUUGGAAACUGUUCAUAUAUAAAUAUGCUUUUGCUGGAGA